GCAUUCUGCCUCUCUGGGAUUAAAUUAAAGGUCUUUAAGAAAUCUGACUAUUGUUCACUUUUUGGGAAAAAAAAGUUAUUUAUCUGGCUGUGUUGGGUCUUAGUUGUGAACUCGGGACCUUCACUGCAUCCUUUGGGAUUUUUCUUUGCUGCGCACAGACUCUUUAGUUGUGGUGCAUGGGCUUAGUUGUCCCAAGGCAUGUGGGAUCCUAGUUCCUAGACCAGGAAUCCAACCCAAAUCCCCUGCAUUGCAAGGUGGAUUCUUAACCAUUGGACCACCAGGGAAGUCCCUAUUGUUUACUUUCAAGACUGUGCUUAGAACAUGCAAGGGACUGGAUGGUACUAAUUGUCUUUGCUGUUAGUUGUAACCAUUGUCAUAGCUAACCUGUGCAAAGCCCUCUGCCAGAGGACUUUGUUUAAUUUUAACAGUCAUCUAUGAUAUGGAUAUUAUUUUUAAAUCCCCAUUUUACAAUGAAGAAAUUGAGGCAGAGACUCUCUUAUCCAAGGUAAUAUAGCUAAUAAGAGGAGGAGCUGGGAUUUUAAAGUAGGCAAUGUCCCUCUAAAACCAGUUUACUGAACCACCAGUUUAUACUGCCUCUUUAGGGAUAUUGAGAUGAAAAAGACAGAAGCCCUGCUCUUGAGGUGCCACGGCCUCGUGGGGAAGACUGGCACAGAAACACUGGACCGUAGCAUGUGAGAAGCACUAUGAUGAAGCUAGCCUUCUUUUAGGUAAGAUGCCUGCAGGAGCUUGGAGCAAAGAGAGAUUAAGGGAGGCAAUGAAAACUGUUCUCCCCCUACCUGAGAUGUGUGCUCAGUCACUCAAUCGUGUCCGACUUUUUGCAACUCCACGGACUGCAGCCCGCCAGGCUCCUCUGUCCAUGGAAUUUUCCAGGUAAGAAUACUGGAGUGGGUUGCUAUUUCUUCCUCCAGGGGAAAAAUGAAUGCAAGGAAUUCCCAUCUCAUAUGGCUCUUGUGAAGAUUAACUGAAAUAAUGUUCCUAAAACAAUCAAGUAGGGACUUCUCUGGUGGUCCAGUGGCUAAGACCCCGUGUUCCCAGUGCAGGCGACUCAAGUCCAAUUUUCUAGACAGAGAACUACAUCCCACCCACCACAACUAAGAGUUCACAUGCUGCAACUAAAGAUCCCAUAUGCCACAAGGAAGAUGGAAGAUCCCAUGUACAGCAACUGAGACUCGACACAGCCACAUAAAUAUUAAUAACAAACAAGCCAACGAUAAAGUGCCCAGAGCACAGGCUUUUAGGACAUGGGAUGGUACAACUUGCUGAUGAAAAUGAUCAUGUUCCCUAUAAAAAGUGUGAGGCUUGUAAAGCCACUCUUCAAGUCCCUGCCUGCCCACUCCCUAGAUACACAGAAAGUGAGUUGCUGGUUCCAGUUUGAAAUCUUGUCCUGAACUCCUGUGCUGUAGAUGUUCUUGUCUUUAUCACCUUCCUUCUUACUCUUCCAGCUUCUCUUUCUCUCCCUGCCUAAGCCUCUCAUUAGUCCAGUUAAUAAACUGUUGUUGUCAUUGUCCUGUCAGUUCAACACCCGCCCCCCGCCCCCCCCCCCACCCCCCCCCCC
ensembl:lncRNA